rnacentral:rRNA from 1 species
ACUAGAGUACGGUAGAGGGUGGUGGAAUUUCCGGUGUAGCGGUGAAAUGCGUAGAUAUCGGAAGGAACAUCAAUGGCGAAGGCAACCACCUGGGCCUGUACUGACACUGAGACACGAAAGCGUGGGGAUCAAACAGGAUUAGAUACCCUGGUAGUCCACGCCGUAAACGAUGUGCACUAGUUUGGUGGAG